rnacentral:rRNA from 1 species
AGAGUUUGAUCCUGGCUCAGAUUGAACGCUGGCGGCGUGCUUAACACAUGCAAGUCGAACGUGAAAGUCCUUCGGGAUGAGUAAAGUGGCGCACGGGUGAGUAACGCGUGGAUAAUCUACCUUCAAGAUGGGGAUAACGGCUGGAAACGGUCGCUAAUACCGAAUAAGCUGUAGGUUUUGAAUUUACGGUAAAGAUGGCCUCUGCAUGCAAGCUAUCGCUUGAAGAUGAGUCCGCGUCCCAUUAGCUGGUUGGCGGGGUAACGGCCCACCAAGGCGACGAUGGGUAGCCGGUCUGAGAGGAUGAUCGGCCACACUGGGACUGGAACACGGCCCAGACUCCUACGGGAGGCAGCAGUGGGGAAUAUUGCGCAAUGGGCGAAAGCCUGACGCAGCGACGCCGCGUGAGGGAUGAAGGUCUUCGGAUCGUAAACCUCUGUCAGGAGGGAAGAAGUGGUUAUAUGCGAAUAGUGUAUGACUUUGACGGUACCUCCAAAGGAAGCACCGGCUAACUCCGUGCCAGCAGCCGCGGU